CAACACCUCAGUCCCCCCCGUGACCAUGAAGGCUGCAAAGUCUUCGAAACGUCGGUAGAAAAUAAUAAUAUAAAAAACCGCGAUAAUAUCCGUUAAAUAGUUUUUAGUUUUAUUUCAAUAUCAUGAAAAUGAGUAUAAUCAAACAUCCACCAAUAAUAUUAUAGGGAAUUACAGAUUGAUAACAGUUAACUUACUUUAUUAAUAAGUAUAGCUAUUAAACUGCUGAAAAUCUUGUAACGUAAAAGAUUACUCAUAUAAAACAGUGUCAAGAGACCAAUUAAUUAUUUAUUCUAAAAUAGUAGAUAGUUAUCAAAAUCUGAUUGAACAUUUUAGAAAGAAGGGGUUGAUAGGACAAACUUUUAAGAAAAAGGAUGCUAUAAAAUGGUGUUGAAAAACCUGCACCACACUACAUCCAAACAGGUGACUGUAGAAGCCAUACUUUUUAAAUAUCAUUAUGACAAGACAGAUACAUGAAAAAUGGAAACUUAUCUUGAAUUAUUUAUUGUUUUUGCUGAUACAUAUCUACAUUUACAUUAAACGCUUGAUAAAAAUCAAUUAUUGGUUAUAUCAAGUGAAAAUGUUACUGAAUUAGCUUUUAAUUGUUUUAUUAUUAUUACUUAUGUAGGGACACACACACUUGCGCAGCUGUGUAAGUGCACGUGCAUAGUUGUGCGGGAAUGCUGUGUCACACCAUACCUCCCAUACAAAAGCGACGUGCGCCUUUGUUAACUCAGUACGUCCACUAAAUUGUUACUAUUACCAUCUAAGUACAUCGCUGUGUAUUAUCGUACUCUGGAACUUUGAAUAUAAUUAUACAGUGCCAUCCUUGAGUUUAAUUUAUACGCUAGGGUUGUUACUCCCAUAAUUUACAGCAUCAACAAGAACACUGAUGACCCCGACGACGCUCUUACAUUGAAUAAAAGAUAAGAGGUUAUGUUGCGAAUUGAGUAAUCGCCCGGGACCUCGCGCUACACAAAGGGCACAUACAAGAUGGGUAUUAAGGUGACUUAGUUGUCACCUGAGGAACCUUUUUUAGUCCACCACCUGUAACUACGAAACCAUGUGCGAACGAAAUUGUUAAAAUUAGGGGUUCUUAUUGCCGCCUGAGGCUUCCUGCUGGCCAAGGCCAACACUCAGAUGACGUUAGGCACGCGGUUCGAUAAACUAAGCGAUUUCUAUUACGUAAUGUAGUUGAAUAACCAGGCUUACCCUCCAUUGGAAUAUGAAAAGAAUAUGUGGAAAUGUAACAAGUGUAAUGCAUAAUUACUGGAACGAAAUUAAGAAGUCUUAAGGCACCGUGCUCAGCAGUGGAGCAGUAUAUUAUAAUACAGGAUUGAUGUUAUUAUUAUAAGGUACAGGUGCGGUAUAAGCCAUAAACCGCACUACAGCUUGCUAUGCUAUGUAUCAUCUUUUCUUUCGUAUUAUCAUUAUUUAGUGUAAGAAACACAAAAUGAUCAUCGACUCAUUUUCAGCUGUGAUCCAAGCUAUCGACUUGCUCACUGGCUCCUUGAUCCAUGAUAGCUUCGCUGGCCGUGGGGCGUGGCGUCUGACUAUGGAAGACUUGAUGAUUAUUGCAAUUACUUUAUUCGGGGCAUCCUUUGGAAACCAGUCAAGAAGAUCUUGGGCGUACGCGCGUGUUACAUUCUAUAUACCUUGGAUUUAGCCCCGCAUGUGAUGUUACAGAACGAUUACUAUAAGUGAAAUGGAUACAAAUAAAACUAUAUAUUUCA